GACAGAGGGUGCAAGCGUUAAUCGGAUUUACUGGGCGUAAAGCGCGCGUAGGUGGCCAAUUAAGUCAAAUGUGAAAUCCCCGAGCUUAACUUGGGAAUUGCAUUAGAUACUGGUUGGCUAGAGUAUGGGAGAGGAUGGUAGAAUUCCAGGUGUAGCGGUGAAAUGCGUAGAGAUCUGGAGGAAUACCGAUGGCGAAGGCAGCCAUCUGGCCUAAUACUGACACUGAGGUGCGAAAGCAUGGGGAGCAAACAGG
rnacentral:rRNA from 1 species